GACAAACGCUGGCGGCGUGCCUAACACAUGCAAGUCGAGCGAUGAAACUCCUUCGGGAGUGGAUUAGCGGCGGACGGGUGAGUAACACGUGGGUAACCUGCCUCAUAGAGAGGGAUAGCCUUCCGAAAGGAAGAUUAAUACCUCAUAAGAUUGUAGUUUCGCAUGAAACGGCAAUAAAAGGAGCAAUCCGCUAUGAGAUGGACCCGCGACGCAUUAGCUAGUUGGUAAGGUAAUGGCUUACCAAGGCGACGAUGCGUAGCCGACCUGAGAGGGUGAUCGGCCACAUUGGGACUGAGACACGGCCCAGACUCCUACGGGAGGCAGCAGUGGGGAAUAUUGCACAAUGGGGGAAACCCUGAUGCAGCAACGCCGCGUGAGUGAUGACGGUCUUCGGAUUGUAAAACUCUGUCUUUGGGGACGAUAAUGACGGUACCCAAGGAGGAAGCCACGGCUAACUACGUGCCAGCCGCCGUGUAAGAC
rnacentral:rRNA from 1 species